UUCAUCUUUCCUCGUCUUGUUGAUUUUUUCAUUGAUCUCGCUACUUCACACCUCCAAAUCUCUCGUCUCGUUCUUCCAAUCGAACCGAGCGUGUGUGGAAUCUCCUUAUGCUGCAAGGAUCAGCCUGAGAAAUCCUUUCUUGAUGCGCUCAAUUGUUGAUGGUCAAUUGCCCCAGUUUAUAAGAGCUGGGAGAAAUCUUCUUAUAAAUGGAACUAACUUGUAGUUUCGGGGGAUUUAUUUGCUCGAACAUUUUCUUGGUAGUAGUGCUGGGAGAGCUGUUGCACACUGGUCCUGUUUGACAUUUGUUAAUUAUGGAUUGCUUCUCAUUGUGGUUGCUCUUAGUAUGCGGGACAUGUUCUGGGUGAUAUAUAGUCACUCAUCUCAUGCCAAUAAGGGCUAUUUUGGUUGCAUAGGAAAGCAUGUGCAUCUUGAUACGUACCUAUGUGCUGGUCAAAUUCUUCUCAGAGAUGAUAAAGAGCUUCUUAUUCUAACUCCUCUGGAAGUUCAGUGAUUUAUUCUUGUUUGUCUGUGAAGAAAAAAAAUGGAGAAGUAUAAGUUCAUAAAUGAGAUUGGAGAUGGAACUUGUGGGAAUGUUUAUAAAGCACUCAACAUUGAGAACAAUGAAAUAGUUGCUAUCAAGAAAAUGAAAGAAAGUUCUACUUUUGGGAGGAUGGCACGACAAAGUAUUCUGCUUUUGACAGUCUCUUCGUAAGUUGAACCACCCCAACAUUGUGAAGGAGAUUGUUGGACAAAAUCAUGAGUUUUUCUUCAUUUUUGAACAUAUGGUGAGUAAUACCUUUCACCUGAAGUAGGAAUAACAUUUGUUUUUUUCUCACACACAGGCUGGAUAUUGCAAUUGUUGAUUUAGGAGGGUAAAAUAAAUGAACAUUGUUUACUUUCG